AGUUCGGAUUGUAGUCUGCAACCCGACUACAUGAAGCUGGAAUCGCUAGUAAUCGCGGAUCAGAAUGCCGCGGUGAAUACGUUCCCGGGUCUUGUACACACCGCCCGUCACACCAUGGGAGUCGGAAAUGCCCGAAGUCGGUGACCGAACCGAAAGGAAGGAGCCGCCGAAGGCAGGUCUGGUGACUGGGGUGAAGUCGUAACAAGGUAUC
rnacentral:rRNA from 1 species